ensembl:lncRNA
UGCUGUACUGUCUAUAACUACCUUUCUAUACCUCAGCUAUAGCCUACAUAUCAUAGAUGACCAGCCUAAACCAGUGGGUUGUUAGUGAUAUGUUAUAUUAUGUAAAGUAGACUAGGUUAUAAUGUAUAGUAGUGGGUUGUUAGUGAUAUGUAGAUGUUAUAUUAUGUAAAGUAGACUAGGUUAUAAUGUAUAGUAGUGGGUUGUUAGUGAUAUGUUAUAUUAUGUAAAGUAGACUAGGUUAUAAUGUAUAAUAGCAGUUUGUUAGUGAUAUGCAGAUCAAGGUCUAUACCUCGGCUAUAGCCUACAUAUCAUAGAUGACCAGUCUAAACCUGUUCAGAUCAGUUCACAUAAUGUUAUAGUCCUACCAGUAGCAGGACAGAGAAUGUACUGU